rnacentral:rRNA from 1 species
AGCGUAUAUUAAAGUUGUUGCAGUUAAAAAGCUCGUAGUUGAAUUUCGGGGUCAGUAGGUCGGUCGUGCCACUGGUAUGAACUGGUUUUACUGAUUCCUCCCUCUUGAAGAACUGUAAUGCCAUUAAUUUGGUGUUGCAGGGAAUCAGGACUGUUACUUUGAAAAAAUUAGAGUGUUUAAAACAGGCUUUAGCUUGAAUACAUUAGCAUGGAAUAAUGAAAUAGGACGUUUGAUCCUAUUUUGUUGGUUUCUAGGAUUGACGUAAUGAUUAAUAGGGAUAGUUGGGGGCAUUAGUAUUCAAUUGUCAGAGGUGAAAUUCUUGGAUUUAUUGAAGACUAACUACUGCGAAAGCAUUUGCCAAGGAUGUUUUCAUUAAUCAAGAACGAAAGUUAGGGGAUCGAAGACGAUCAGAUACCGUCGUAGUCUUAACCAUAAACUAUGCCGACUAGGGAUCGGAUGAUGUUAAUUUUUUAAUGACUC